rnacentral:rRNA from 1 species
GGCCAUACCACAGUAGCAUGCCUGAUCUCUUCUGAUCUCAGAAGCUAAGCAGGGUUGGGCCUGGUUAGUACGGGGAUGGGAGAAAUGAGUAAAGAAUAAAGGUUUCAAAAUAU